rnacentral:lncRNA from 1 species
AGGGGGAAGGAAAAGGGAGGGAAAAAAAGAGAUGGGGGAAGGGAAGAGGGAGCUUGAGGUAGGUAGUGACACCAGGUUACCUGAGGCAACCCCAAAAUACAACCGUGUGUAGCCUUAAAAGGAAGAAGCAGAGAAAGGCUGUACACACAGAUACAAGCCCACUUCCUUCCAACCUUUCUGUCUUCUUUGCCCUUUGUAAUAUUCGUAGAUUCCAGGAGUUAGGUUACAGUAUUAGUCUUUGGGAAAUAGUAUUUUUCCAUGUGGAACUAAUUUUUUUAUUCUGAAUCCUCAUCUCUGCCUCUUAACUGUCUCGAGUGUCACUCCCGUGGAUGCAGAUGUUGGUAGCAGAGACAAUUAGCUACCUACAAGCCAUUUGGACCCCAGAGCAGACACGGAAAGGAAGCAGUCCUGGCUACUAGGCUCCAUUUCUCAGUCCCCCUGCUCCUGGAUGCAGCGGUGUAUCUAAUGAGGUGUGGUCUGCCAUUGGAAAGCCUCCCCCACCCAAAGGGACUCCCAUAUGUUCUUCAUGCUCUCUUUAACAUUCCACUCUCUGGAUGGAGGCCCCCAGCAAAGCCUCAAAGACCAUCUUGAUGUUGGCAGGGGCUUCAUUAGCAUCAGUUUCUACCUGAGUGUUUUAAGUAGCUGUGCAACCAAUUCUCCUGGUAAGUGGGUUUUAUAUGUUGUAGAAAUAAAUUUAUAGUGUGUUCAACACCAUUACUGUCAAUUAAUUUUUCUUACUGUUAAUAUAUGAAUAAAAUAGCUGCAGAAGGGACUCAAGAGAGGGCUCAGUGGGUAAAGUGCCUGCUGUCCAGGCACAAGGACUCAAGUUCAAAUCCCCAGCACCUACGUAAUUGUGUGGGUAUGCAUACCUGCACACAUAUGUGCACAUCUACAUAAAUACACACAUGCACACCCACACAUACAUACACAGAGAUACACACACACACACACACACACACACACACACACACACACGGGAACUAACAAGAUACAGUGUCUGACAUUCUGUCAUCUCCUAAAUCCGUUCUGUUGCUGAAGGUUUCCAUGGGGCUUUCGUUAUGAACUUUUCAUUCCCAGGAUUUCAGACCGACUUGGCUUUUGUUUUCUAUUCUGUGCUUGUCAGGAGAUGCAGUGGGUGUCAUGGCUGGAGAGGAGGAAUCAGAAGACAGUGCAGGAGUCAGUCCUUUCCUCCACUGGCGUCGCUGCCUGUCAUGCUGGUCUCUCCUCUGCUCCUGAAGAUCCACUGAGGACUUCCUGAGGCUGUGAGCAAUGGCUCUCAUACGUCUGUUGUCCCAGACCCUCUCGCUUCCCAAAUAGCACUAAUCCCUCUACCAUGGACUCUGAAAUUUCUCUAUUUUGUUUUGCAAAAACCCUAUUUCACUCUGUUAAAAUUUUGUUAGUCAUGUAUCUGGUUGAUUGAGCUGUUUUUUAUUCCUUCCUUGUACAGACCAACUGUUGGUUGGCUGACUCUAUGGGACGUGAGGGUUCUUUCAUGGAUUGGUUUUGCUCACUCCGGUUCAGACUGGACGCUGACUCUGUACUGUGCUUUUGGGGUUGAGCCUGUCUUUCCUCUUCCUCCGAGUGCUGUAUUGCUUCUGAAGCGCUGUGUGCCUUGAAUGGCCCCAUUUCUUCACAGCACAGCUUGGCUGGAAGCAGCAAGCUUGGUUGGCCUUUGACCUUCAGCAUUUGAAGUUUAUCAGUUUUCACUCUCCUUGCUUCUCUGACUAUUGAUGAGAGACCUAAUGUUCUUCUGACACCCCUGCCCUGUGAGUUAGCACUUUCGGUUAUUGCUCUUAUUUAUCUGUUUAUCUUUGAGUUGAAGUUUGUUUAAAUUACUUUUAAACAUAUGAAAAAAAUAUUCAUCCUCAUUCCAAACAAGAGAUAGAUACCAUACUUACAGUGGAAUAUCGCUUCUUAUCUGUCAGAGGCAAGAUGGCACCGUGGUUGGUGAGAGAAGACUCUGUGACACGAGGAUUGUGACAAUGCAAAAUAGCCGCAUGGGGUGGACUUAUCAAUUGCUGGCAAUAUUACGCACACAAAUACCCAUUGCCUCAGCAAGUGUGCCUCUCAGAAACCGUUUCCAAGGAUGGACUGGCAAACUGACUCUGAAUUGUGUUUUGCCUUAGUACAGGUACUUUCAGCAGGCUACCAAUGAGCUACAUUCAAUAUUUUGAUUGUAGUUACAUAAUAGUGUAAGAGAAGAGGCACAAAUAUCUGUCAGCUUGGUUGAAUAAACUGUGGUACAAACACAUGUUGGUUCGUGUGUCUAUUAAUUAUUAAGG